GUCAUGCCCGAUUGCCAACAAAGACUAUAAAAACAAUAACACCUUGUAAAAGACAGUUCUGAGCACAUUUUGAAUAAAGUCAUUGUUGAGAGUAGAUCGCUGGAGUUACGAUCCUUCGACUCAUCAUUGAACACCGGUGAAUUCCAAUUCUUUAAACGCUCCAAAACCCACGAUAUCCCAAAACCCUUUAAAAACGCCUGAGGGCACAACAAUUUGGUGGCAGCGGUGGGAUAUCGUCAAGUCUAACGGAAUGCCAAACGCAAAGAGACUACCGUUUUGCUACCGAGGUGUCAUCAAGGAGCUGACUCUGGACGUGCUCUGAAGAGACGUACAUCAGCCCAAAACGGCAAGCCGGGACCAGUCGCUGGUGAGGACAACACGACCAAACGACGCCCAAGUACUGAUCUGAGGAUCAACGACGAGGAUAUUCAAUUCCGGAUCAUCUUUCGAAGUCGGACAUCAGGAGCUAACGGGAGUUCGAGGAAAAGCAGUCAAUAGCAAUCCGAGGACCAAUUGACAGCGAGAGCGAAGCAUCUUCCAGCGAGCAGCCGAGUGAAGUCCGAGGACCACCGGAACGCGGAACAACAACAUCCACAACAUGCAGAUAACUCUACUGCUGUCAGUAUUUUGGUUACUGGUGUUUGCAGGCGACGCAACGGAUACCAAACCUUACCAAAUCACGGCAUUCCCAAGCCAACCAGGUGUCUAUUUCGAAGACAUAAGAAACCUGCAGACGUAUAAGGAUACAUGGAAAUUGGUAUUCCACAUCGACACAAGUUCACUAAGUCUCCGAUAUACUAAAAUCAAGUCUGCACUAAACGGCGCCAUGAGCCACUGCACGAAUAAUCCAUACCACAAUAUGAAAAAUUUCUGCGAUAAAUUUUCCCUCAUCUCAAACAAUUUAUUAGACCAAACUAAAAUUAACUUAAACACGGCAUAUCAAAUUCUUGAUCCGUCUAUGCGCGUUCGCCGCGGUUAAAUCGACGGAAUAGGAUAUUUAGGAAGAGUAUUAUUCGGCACAAUGGACGCAAAAGACAAUGAAUCGAUUAAAAGACAGUUACAAAUUUUGAAACAAGAAGGAAUUGCCCAACGGACUUCCUUAUUAGACCAAAUACAAGUAGUCAACGCGAACAUUAAAUUAUUUAACGAGACUAUGAGUAAUAUAAAUCAAAACAAACACAUGUUACUAAACGCAACAAAUACCCUGAGACAACUAUUAGAGACAGAAACUGACAGUCGAAAUUACCAAGCCAUGAUAGACGAGAAUUCAAUUCUAAUCGAAAACAUAAUCAGAAACCUCGCAGGCGACGUACGCAACCUAUUAAAUUUCGCAGUAGAUAUUAAAAAAGGAAUUCUCAAUUCGCUAGUUAUACCACCGACAGAAAUUAUCUGACAUGCUGAGUCAACACUACCUCUACUACCAAAAGGUUUAAGACCACCAUUACCACUGAAUACCGUAAACGUAUACUCACUCACUAAUACAGCAGGAUAUGCCGAAAACAUAUAAUUAACACAAUAAUUGAAAUGCCCUUGGUAAGCGCAAAAACGUACAAACUAAACAAAGUUUAUCCCGUACCUACAAAAAUAAACGAAUCACUAUACGCAUAUCUAGAUACUGUAGAAUCAUACAUAGCAAUAGACUUAUCAAAUUUAGACUACAUGCGAAUCAACGACAAGGUAUUAACUAAUUGUAAAAUAUUUAACGACGAUUAUGUAUGUAAAAUAUACCAUCCAAUUUUUAAAAUCACUCCACACGGAUCUUGCGAAGUAAAAUUGUAUACUAAACUUACUCAGCGUCCAGAAAA